rnacentral:tRNA from 1 species
GGAGGCGUGGCAGAGUGGUUGAACGCGCAAGUUUCGAAAACUUGUAUACCCGGAAGGGUAUCGGAGGUUCGAAUCCUCCCGCCUCCG